UCCACUUUUUUAUGCUGAAUCGCCUUGCCACCGGCUGAUGGACCCGGCUCGCCGCCAUCGUGAGCCUGUUGGAAGUAUCACGGGACUCUGUGACGGAGCCUUGACCUUUUCCAUUUGAAGGUAUGCCCUGUGACGGCGGCGUCAGACUGGGAGUGCGGCCGGAGCAUGUGGCCCGAGGGCCCUGGCCAUUUUAGGAGAUGCCAACUAAGAGACAACAGCCCGGUGACGGCAGGAACUUCCCAGAUGGCGAGGCGGCCUUCUUUCACACCUGACCUGGAUUCGCAUUCCCGGACCUCCGAGAGAUAAGUGGAGGGCUACGCCUCACAGAGGGGAUGAGAGCGAUGUGCCGGGUCAGGACUCGUCGGAAGGAUUUUUGAAUUAGCUCUGGAGACGGGGAUGUCCAAGA